rnacentral:rRNA from 1 species
AUUGAACGCUGGCGGCAGGCCUAACACAUGCAAGUCGAACGAGUGGCGGACGGGUGAGUAAUGUCUGGGAAACUGCCUGAUGGAGGGGGAUCACUACUGGAAACGGUAGCUAAUACCGCCUACCAUCGUCUGUGCCCAGAUGGGUGUAGCUAGUAGGGGGGGUAAAGUCGCACCUAGGAGACGAUCCCUAGCUGGUCUGAGAGGAUGACCAGCAACACUGGAACUGAGACACGGUCCAGACUCCUACGGUAGGCAGCAGUGGGGAAUAUUGCACAAGGGGCGCAAGCCGGAUGCAGCCAUGCCGCGUGUAUGAAGAAGGCCUUCGGGUUGUAAAGUACUUUCAGCGGGGAGGCGUUACCCGCAGAAGAAGCACCGGCUAACUCCGUGCCAGCAGCCGCGGUAAUUC